rnacentral:rRNA from 1 species
UUGAAAGGGAAACGAUUGAAGUCAGUCAUGCUGGUGGGAAUCAACUUAGGGGAAACUCUAGGUGCACUUCUUCGCUUGGCAGGUUAACGUCGAUCUUGAAUGCCAUAAAAUAAUUGGGGGAAGGUAGCUCCUUCGGGAGUGUUAUAUACCCCUUGAUAGAUGUGAUGUUUGGGGUCGAGGAUUGCAACGGAUACCCUUCGGGGCUAGCCGCCUGAUCUCUAAUCGGUGUUGGGUUACGGAUAGCAUGCUGACCGUGAUCUAAUUACUGGUUAAAAGGUUAGAGCGUGCAUAAAUUCGUUAAGGAUGUUGACGUA